rnacentral:misc_RNA from 1 species
GCAUUGCCUAAUUCCAGCACCCAAAGGGUACGUCACACCUUUCCCCUGGCCAAAAAGCCGUGACUAUGUACCAUAUGCAAAUGUUCCAUAUAAGAGUCUGAUAAUUGAGAAAGCUGUUCAGAACUGGGUUCAGUUGGAAGGUAAUGUGUUGAAAUUCCCAGGAGGUGGUACAAUGUUCCCACAAGGAGCAGAUGCAUAUAUCGAUGAACUUGCAUCAGUCAUCCCAAUUGCAGAUGGAACUGUGAGAACUGCUCUGGAUACUGGCUGUGGGGUUGCAAGCUGGGGUGCUUACUUACUGAAAAGAAAUGUGUUGGCGAUGUCCUUUGCACCAAGGGACUCACAUGAAGCCCAAGUACAAUUUGCUUUAGAACGUGGUGUUCCUGCUGUAAUUGGAGUCCUUGGAACCAUAAAAUUGCCCUAUCCAUCUAGAGCAU